AGUGAACGCUGGCGGCGUGCUUAACACAUGCAAGUCGAACGAGAACGGGCUAUAGCUUGCUAUAGUUGUCAGCUAAGUGGCGCACGGGUGAGUAAUGUAUAGGUAAUAUGCCUCUUACUAAGGGAUAACAAAUGGAAACGUUUGCUAAUACCUUAUACUCCUUAUUAACAGAAGUUAAUAAGGGAAAGAUUUAUUGGUAAGAGAUUAGCCUGUAUUGUAUCAGUUAGUUGGUGGGGUAAUGGCUUACCAAGACUAUGACACAUAACUGGUUUGAGAGGAGGAUCAGUCACACUGGAACUGAGACACGGUCCAGGCUCCUACGGGAGGCAGCAGUGCGGAAUAUUGCACAAUGGACGAAAGUCUGAUGCAGCAACGCCGCGUGGAGGAUGACACAUUUCGGUGCGUAAACUCCUUUUAUAUGAGAAGAUAAUGACGGUAUUAUAUGAAUAAGCACCGGCUAACUCCGUGCCAGCCGCCGCAGUAA
rnacentral:rRNA from 1 species